rnacentral:rRNA from 1 species
GAGUUAUGGCUCAGGAUGAACGCUAGCGACAGGCUUAACACAUGCAAGGUCGAGGGGCAGCACGGGAGUAGCAAUACAACUGGUGGCGACCGGCGCACGGGUGAGUAACGCGUAUGCAACCUACCUAUCAGAGGGGAAUAACCCGGCGAAAGUCGGACUAAUACCGCAUAAAACAGGGGCACCGCAUGGUGAUAUUUGUUAAAGAAAUUCGCUGAUAGAUGGGCAUGCGUUCCAUUAGGUAGUUGGUGAGGUAACGGCUCACCAAGCCGACGAUGGAUAGGGGAACUGAGAGGUUGGUCCCCCACACUGGUACUGAGACACGGACCAGACUCCUACGGGAGGCAGCAGUGAGGAAUAUUGGUCAAUGGGCGGGAGCCUGAACCAGCCAAGUCCGCGUGAAGGAAGAAGGAUCUAUGGUUCGUAAACUUCUUUUGCAGGGGAAUAAAGUGCAGGACGUGUCCUGUUUUGUAUGUACCCUGAGAAUAAGGAUCGGCUAACUCCGUGCCAGCCGCCGC